AUGUCUGUGUAUCAAUUCAACAUCCAGUUUCAUAAAGUUGCUCGCUUCGCUAAACAAGACGUUCCUGAUGAAAAGAGCAUGAUCUAUCACUUCAGAGGUGGCCUUAGAGAGGAUCUACAUUUAGCUCUCGUUCCUGUUGAGCCUACUCAGUUUGAUCAAUUCUACAAUAUGGCACCGAAGCAAGAGGCUGCUCAGCUCAAGUGUGAGGCUUCUAAGAAGAGAUUCAGGGACGCAGUUCAGUCUUCUUCUUCCUCACUUGUGGCUGCUAAGCAACAGAAGUUCUGGUUGCCUCCUCCUCCUCCGUUUCGCCAGCCUUACCAGCAGAAGAACAAAGGUGGCCAUGGUUCUUCCCACUCUUCCAACUCUGGCUAUCAGAACAAGUCUCAGAAUCAAGCUCCAAAGUCGAAUGCUCCUUAUCAUCGUCCACUCUCAGAGGUGACUUGCAACAAUUGUUAG
rnacentral:rRNA from 1 species